AUACUUUACGUUACCGAUAAGAAACUACAAUAACGUUCCGUUCUUGUCAUUACGCCAAAAAAAACUGAAUACAAUUUCAAAACCAUUCAUCUGUGUCCUAAAAACAAAAACAAAAAAUGUCAAGACGGUGUGGUAAGGACAAUAGAAAAUAAAAGUAAAAAAGCUUUUUUAUUAAGGUUAUUCAAAAAAUACGUAUGCAUAAAGAUAUUAACAGAUUCAAUAGAGACACAGAACAAUCGUUCAUUGCGGAAAAUGUUAAACCAUUGAGGAUAUUAAAUCCUAAAUGUUGAGUGUUUAUCAAGCAUAAUUAGAUGAAAUGGUAAGCGCAAUAAUUUCCCAUAGCAAAUAUGUAGCGAAAAAUCAUUAUGUAAAAUUUAGCAUAAAUAAACGUAACUAAGCUUGCAUGCGCCUGAAUCGAUUAGACCAUCAUGGCUAGAUAUUGUUCAUUCCAAACCUUUCGACUUCUCAUUUCAAGUGCUUUGAAUGUUUUACGGGUUUCAAAUGAGCAGGAAUUGGAAGGGUUCAUCUGCUCUGAUCCAUGCUUAAAAAAUCAGAUCCGAUCCAUUAAUAUAUCACAUGAUCCAAAUAUGGCAAAAAUUAUCUGUUUUGAUCCGGGAUCACCUUUGUAUGUAGAAGUAGAUCACUAUUUGGGAUCAUCGGGCAUAAUUUAUGCUGUGAGAGUCCAUACUAUAACUGGCAGAGGCGCCCGCCGCUAUCAAUAUUAGCAAAAAAAUAAGUUGUGCCUAAUACCUGUGUUUAUCCGGUCAGGGCUGAUUAACGAUGAGCACGGCAAGGUGGCAUUCAACGGCAAAGUAGGUGUCCCAGUUUCAGUUUUAUUCCACUAUAAAUACUUAAAUUUAAUUUUUAUUUCAUCGAAUGCAUGAAUGUUAAAAAUAUCGACUUUCAUUAUUGAAAUGCUUGAAAAAGGAUAAUUUUUUUUAGAGGACACAAUUCUAUCCUCUUUUGAGUGGGCUUAAACACAUAUGUUUAGAUUUGUAAAAAAAUGUUUAAUUUUAAUUUUAUUUUUAAUGGUUUGAAAAAGCAUUUUCAAAAAACGGUUUUACAAUGUCCGUUGAAAUUAGCACCGUGUGAGCUAUUGCUUGUCUAGGUUUUUUCUGUUUGAAUAACGUAAUAUUUUCACAGGGCGAUCUUUCUGAAACUGUCAUCAAAAUGUCAUACGGAAAUAUCAUAAGCGUGUAAACCGCGGUAAAUGUUAUUUACCGGAUAUUUUUAUCCGGAAAUCCACGAUUAACUUACGGUAUACGAAACGUUGCCAGAUUUGCAAGCAAUGAAAGAGAGCGUAGAAACUUUCUACUCACAGAUUUUUUUGUGUAAACUUUUGCCGAACCAUGUUACAUGUAAAUACCGAACGAGAAAUGCCGGACUUCCACGGUGUUCGGUAUCAGAUUAUGGGUGGUGAUUUUGCCUUUAUAAUCGCACUAGAGGAUCCUGCCGGAAUGGCAUUAUACGAUCAUAUUAGCAGCAGAUACUGUCAAAGUCUAGGCAAAAAGCAAAUCGAAAAAUGCCGAUGUAAAUUGUUAUUGUUCCUUGAAUUUGAGAACAAAAUGUCCUGAAAAGUGACUAGUGGUGGAAGUUACAGGCACAAGCAUUAAGGUCAAUGCAAAUACGAUUUGUUCCUAAAGCGUCCACACAUAGCGUCACAUCAUACAUGUGAAUGGUGAUUUUGCAUUUGUGAUCGCACUGGAAGAUCCUGCUGGAAUCGCAUCGGAGGAUCAGAUCAGCUACGGGUAUUGUCAGAGUUCGGGCAAAAAUCGAAUCCAAUAAUGAUGAUGUAAAUCUUCGUUGUUUGGCUUCAGUUUAGAAACAAAAUGUGCUGCAAAACGAAUACCGAUGGCAAUAACAGUCACAAGCAUUAAGGUCUACGCAAAUUCGUUUUUUCCUAAAACGUGAAUGUGUUCGGACAUAGCACACUUCAUUAUCGUUCCAUUAUGUUACAGGAGGAUGCUGGCUUUGUGUUCACAAUGGUGAAUCCUGCUGAAAAAGAAAGUAAUAACACACAGUACACAGAGUAUCAUCGGUUACAUUCAGUUUGCUGACAAUCUACGUACCCGAUGCUGAUGAUCGACGGAACGACACUUGCAUAGGGUAUGUUAUUUAUUAUUUUUCGGCUAAUGUGGAUAAAAGCCAAAACAAUUAUUUAAUGGUUAUACGGUGCCAAGGGAAGGGGAGGUUCGAUAAUUGUAACACAACUGUUGAAAAAUUGUAGGAAACUCUCAGAACCUCCUAUGUACCUGAGCUAGGAAAAUUAAUAGCAAAAUGUGUUUUUCGUUAACGCAUUUACGUUUACUUAUCAAUCUUCAAUCUAAAUCUGAAUCAAUCUUCAGCGUAUGGGAGAAAAAAUUAA